rnacentral:rRNA from 1 species
AUGGGGUGCACCAGGCGCGAAAACUUUACAAUGUGCGCAAGCACGAUAAGGGAACUCUGAGUGCCUCCUAUGGAGGCUGUUCAGGUGUCUAAAAAGCAUCUGAAGGAAGGGCUGGGCAAGACCGGUGCCAGCCGCCGCGGUAACACCGGCAGCCCAAGUGGCGGCCACUUUUACUGGGUCUAAAGCGUUCGUAGCCGGCUAAGUAAGUUCCUUGGGAAAUUUAACCGCUUAACGGUUAAGCUUUCAGGGAAUACUGCUUGGCUUGGGACCGGGAGAGGUCAGAGGUACCUCAAGGGUAGGGGUGAAAUCCGUUAAUCCUUGGGGGACCGCCAGUAGCGAAGGCGUCUGACCAGACCGGAUCCGACGGUGAGGAACGAAGGCUAGGGUAGCGAACCGGAUUAGAUACCCGGGUAGUCCUAGCUGUAAACGAUGCGGGCUAGGUGUUGGCAUUACUGCGAGUGANGCCAGUGCCGAAGGGAAGCCGUUAAGCCCGCCAUCUGGGGAGUACGGUCGCAAGGCUGAAACUUAAAGGAAUUGGCGGGGGAGCAC